AAGGAAAUCAUUGAGAAGUACGAACGAGCUACAAAGGUUGUCAAAGAAAGGCUUUCUGGAGAUGAGAGAUGCUGGGGGCUGCAGGAGAGCCUGGAGGCUGAAGCACUUUUCUUUGUUCAGGACCUCACCAGGGGAGUGAGGCAGUCUUGCUUCAACUCAGCUUCCUGUGCUGUGCUUCCAGUUGAUCUGUGGUAGAGGAAUGACUAUGAUGGUUCUGCAGGUGUGAUGUUCUAGGUAAGGUUGGUUUGAUUUCAUUUGUCUCCCCUCUCACCCACCCACCCACCCUCCCAUCCACACAUUCACCCAUCCACCCACCUAUCCAUCCAU